rfam:Brevibacillus choshinensis strain DSM 8552 super29, whole genome shotgun sequence.
UACAUACUGUAACCGCACGAAUCAGGUACAAAAGUCGUCGCUCGCGGCGCACCUGUAAAGGCGAGUCUGAGUAUAGGA